CAUUUUUUAGGGUAGUUGUUAAUCACCCAUGCCGAACACAGAAGUUAAGCCCUAGAACGCCGGAAGUAGUUGGGGGUUGCCCCCUGUGAGAUAGGGAAGUCGCUUAGCU
rnacentral:rRNA from 1 species